rnacentral:rRNA from 1 species
GCCUAGCCGUAACACACAAUUAAACUACCAAUUGUUCGCCAAACAACUACGAGUCAUACUUAAAACUUAAAAGACUUGACGGUACUUCACCACAUCCUAGAGGAGCCUGUCUAAUAACCGACAACCCACGAUUAAUCCAACCCCUCCUUGCCUAAUCAGCCUAUAUACCGCCGUCGUCAGCCUACCUUGUAAAAGAAAUAAAGUGGGCUAAAUAGUAUCGCACUAAAACGACAGGUCGAGGUGUAGCUCAUGGAAGGGACUAAGAUGGGCUACAUUCUCAACCGAGUAUACGAACAGCACUAUGAAACAAGUUCUCGAAGGCGGAUUUAGCAGUAAGAUAGGAAUAGAAUACCCAACUGAACAUAACGCAAUGAAGUGCGCACACACCGCCCGUCAUCCCUGCCCCCAC